rfam:Stegodyphus mimosarum contig104392, whole genome shotgun sequence.
GCCUUCGUGGUGUAGUGGUCAGCCCUCUAGACGCGUAACCGAGAGGUCCGUGGUUCGAUUCCCGGCGAGAGCA